AUACGGAGGAUGCAAGCGUUAUCCGGAUUUACUGGGCGUAAAGGGCGUGUAGGCGGUCUUGCAAGUCAGAAGUGAAAUUCCUGAGCUCAACUCGGGCGCUGCUUCUGAAACUGCAGGACUUGAGUGCUGGAGGGGAUAGCGGAAUUCCUAGUGGAGCGGUAAAAUGCGCAGAUAUUAGGAAGAACACCGGUGGCGAAGGCGGCUAUCUGGACAGAAACUGACGCUGAGGCGCGAAAGCGUGGGGAGCAAACAGGAUUAGAUACCCUGGUAGUCCACGCAGUAAACGAUGAUGACUAACCGUCGGCGAUAGACCGCCGGUGGCCAAGCGAAAGCGAUAAGUCAUCCACCUGGGGAGUACGACCGCAAGGUUGAAACUUAAAGGAAUUGACGGGG
rnacentral:rRNA from 1 species